GCUUCUAACAAUGCCUGCCAAUGAUGCCAAUGUCUGGCAAACUAAGGCAAUACUUAGUUUUCAAUUUGGACAUAAGCUAGCCCAACUAGAUAGGCUUCUGUGAAUUUUCUGGGCUUCAGUAUGUUUUAGCAGAGCUUUCAAGUGGGAAAAGUAUCUUUACUUUCUUUCUUUCUUUUUUUUUUUUUUAGAUGGGGUCUGGGUGACAGAGUGCAGUGCCUCUCAUUGCAACUUCCAGCUCCCAGGCUCAAGCCGUCUUCCCACCUCAGCUACCAGAGUAGCUGGGACUACAGGACCGUGCCACCAUACCUGGCUAAUUUUUGUAUUUUUUGUAGAGACGGGGUUUCGCCAUGUUGCCAAGGCUGGUCUUGAACUCCUGGGCUCAAGUGAUCCUCCUCACUGGCUUCCCAAAGUGCUAGGAUUACAGAAGUGAUCCACCACAUCCGGCCACCUUUACUUUCUUUUAAGUUUAAAAGGUUCUGCUGCUUACAGUUUCUCAGCUCAACAAUGACUUUGCAAUCCAGGCAGGACAGCCCACUUGGAACAUUGGUGCCUAUGCCAAAGAGUGAACAGCGGGCCAGUGGAAUCCAGUGUUCCUACGUCCUUCUGCUCUGACUCCUCCUGACUUGUCCAGCCUUAUUAACUGCCACGCUCAUGCGGCCAUGUACACUCCCCGAAUUCAGCACUACUUGUAUCAUCUUAAGCCAAGAGAUUGAUAAACUCCAGAAAUAAUCU